rnacentral:rRNA from 1 species
UACGGGGGGGGCAAGCGUUGUUCGGAAUUACUGGGCGUAAAGGGCGCGUAGGCGGCCAGUUCAAGUCGGGUGUCAAAUCUCGAGGCUUAACCUCGAGUUGUCGCUCGAUACUGAUCGGCUAGAGUGUGGAAGAGGGUGCUGGAAUUCCCGGUGUAGCGGUGAAAUGCGUAGAGAUGUGGAGGAACACCAGUGGCGAAGGCGGCUCUCUGGACUGUAACUGACGCUGAGGCGCGAAAGCGUGGGGAGCAAACAGG